UACGGAGGGGGCUAGCGUUGUUCGGAAUUACUGGGCGUAAAGCGCGCGUAGGCGGACCUGCAAGUCGGGGGUGAAAGCCCGAGGCUCAACCUCGGAACUGCCUUCGAUACUGCGGGUCUCGAGUCCGGGAGAGGUGAGUGGAAUUCCUAGUGUAGAGGUGAAAUUCGUAGAUAUUAGGAAGAACACCAGUGGCGAAGGCGGCUCACUGGCCCGGUACUGACGCUGAGGAGCGAAAGCAUGGGGAGCGAACAGG
rnacentral:rRNA from 1 species